rnacentral:rRNA from 1 species
GUAGGGGGCAAGCGUUGUCCGGAUUUAUUGGGCGUAAAGAGCGUGUAGGCGGCCAGACAGGUCCGGUGGGAAAACUCGAGGCUCAACCUCGAGACGCCGAUGGAAACCGUCUGGCUAGAGUCCGGAAGAGGAGAGUGGAAUUCCUGGUGUAGCGGUGAAAUGCGCAGAUAUCAGGAAGAACACCCGUGGCUAAGGCGGCUCUCUAGUACGGUACUGACGCUGAGACGCGAAAGCGUGGGGAGCGAACAGG